rnacentral:rRNA from 1 species
AUACGGAGGGUGCGAGCGUUAAUCAGAAUUACUGGGCGUAAAGCGUGCGUAGGCGGUUUGCUAAGUCAGAUGUGAAAGCCCCGGGCUUAACCUGGGAACUGCAUUUGAUACUGGCAGACUAGAGUAUGAUAGAGGGGGGUAGAAUUCCUGGUGUAGCGGUGAAAUGCGUAGAUAUCAGGAGGAAUACCAGUGGCGAAGGCGGCCCCCUGGAUCAAUACUGACGCUGAGGUACGAAAGCGUGGGGAGCGAACAGGAUUAGAAACCCCAGUAGUCC